rnacentral:RNase_P_RNA from 1 species
CGAGCCAACCGGACAGUCGCCGUCUGCUUUGUCAGAGGGAGGAAAGUCCGGGCUCCAUAGGGCAGGGUGCCAGAUAACGUCUGGGCGGCGCAAGCCGACGGCCAGUGCAACAGAAAGAUACCGCUUUCCAUGUAACAGCGACUCGUGAUCAAGACCAGGUUGGUUUCGUACCGGCUAAGUUGCGGUCUGGGCGCUGUUGGGGAGUAAGGGUGAAAUGGUGUGGUAAGAGCGCACCGCGCGAGUGGUAACACAAGUGGCAAGGUAAACCCCACCUGGAGCAAGACCAAAUAGGAGUUCAUUCAGUUUCGGCUGAGAGGCGCGGCCCGCGCUGAGCUCGGGUAGGUUGCUUGAGGCAGGCAGCGAUGUCUGCCCUAGAUGAAUGACUGUCCACGACAGAACCCGGCUUAUAGGUUGGCUUUUUUU